rnacentral:lncRNA from 1 species
CUUUGGGACACAUUUAACGCUUCUUGGUUCAGAAUCUUAAUAAAUUUAAGACUUCAGUAUCCAGAAACCUAGCUUAAUCUGAUAAUAAGAGGUCCCGUCUCCACAUGACUGAAAUUUUGUCCAGAACUACAAAAUUAACAGUUCUAGUCUUUCAGAAUUUUGAAGGGGCCCAGAUUCUUCUAGACGCCACAGACUUCUUGCCCCAUCAAUGUGUUUCCAAAACUGGGUCCUGGAUAAUGACCACAUAAUCCACGUAGGCGCCACAAACUUCUUGUCCCAACCUAAGAAUAAUAACCUGAUGCACAUAUCACCUAAAAUCUCUAGUUUUCUUAGAAGC